UGGACAUAUGCUCGACAUUGCUAAAUUGGAACGAUACAGAGACGAUAGCAUGUCCCCUGCGCAAGGAUGACGUUACAAAUCGAGAUAUUCGUUUUAGGCUUUU
rnacentral:snRNA from 11 species